rnacentral:rRNA from 1 species
UGAACACCCUCUGUCGAUAGACACAGUAGGUAAGGGAAGUCGGCAAAUCGGAUCCGUAACUUCGGGACAAGGAUUGGCUCUGAGGAUCGGGGCGGUUGGGCUAAAUUAGGAAAUGGUGUGUGCUCACGUGCUGGGCCUGAAUAAAACCUUUACGGGUUGAGUUUGGUCCCUUGCCGCGGCCUGCUAUGGAUUAUUUUGGCUAUGAGAGCCAGUGAAAAGUAUUUUUUUGUAAAGUAUGAUUACUGGAAUUAACUCUCUUCGGCCUCCAUUGAACAAUCGACUCAGAACUGGCACGGACCGGGGGAAUCCGACUGUCUAAUUAAAACAAAGCAUCGCGAUGGCUCUCGCGGGUGAUGACGCGAUGUGAUUUCUGCCCAGUGCUAUGAAUGUCAAAGUGAAGAAAUUCAACCAAGCGCUGGUAAACGGCGGGAGUAACUAUGACUCUCUUAAGGUAGCCAAAUGCCUCGUCAUCUAAUUAGUGACGCGCAUGAAUGGAUUAACGAGAUUCCCACUGUCCCUAUCUACUAUCUAGCGAAACCGCAGCCAAGGGAACGGACUUGGAUCCAUCGGCGGGGAAAGAAGACCCUGUUGAGCUUGACUCUAGUCUGGUUUUGUGAGGAGACACGAGAGGUGUAACAUAACUGGGAGACACUUUUAUUUUUUAAAAGGGUCAAAUUUGAAAUACCUCUACUCCCGUCGUUUCCUCACUUACUCGGUGAGGCGGGGAGCGACUAUUAAUUUCUUCGGAAAUUAUAGUCGAAAUUGUUGAGCCAAGUUCCUAGUCCCUUAGAGGGCAGGUACUCUUUGGAGGGUUUAUAUAUAUUUGGGUAACCAUGUGUAUAUUUACUUAGAAGAUUAGUACUGAGACGACUCGUCCCGGAGGACAGCCGCCGGGCG